rnacentral:lncRNA from 1 species
AUACUCCGAGUGCAGCAGACAGCAGAGAUGUGCAUUGCUGGAAUCCAGAGUGUUUCGUAAUUUGGCAGCCACUUGCUGAAAGCCCUGCAGAUACAAAACAACACUUAUUUCAAGUCUUGAGAAACAUCUACUAAGUAGAAGAAAAAAGCAUUUAGAGCGUGUUUCACCUCUAUAUGUGCUGACAAGAUCAGAAGUGCAGGGUGCCAGCAUGACUGUGACUGUGUUGAACAAUGCACACCAAUGCUUUCAGAAAUACAGUGGGAUCCUCAAGCUGUAUGCAAAAGACAAGAAGGAGAUGACCCUAUUCAGUGUGAUGAUUUUUCUUUCACUGCUACAUACGUAAAAGUGUCUGGAAAUCUAUUAUCCAAGGGACACAAAACCAGCUUUUGGACAGGCUGCUCUUCCUGCUAAAACCUGGUAAAUGCAGAGACCUGACUGUGUGAAAGAGCAAUUUAUAUUAGGAUUGGAAUUCACUUCAGGCUUUACUGCUAUUUGUCACCACUCAGGAAACCCAUCCCUAGCUCUAGGAGAACACUCAAUCCCUGCUGACAGCCUGGAAGAGGAAGAGAAAAUAGCAGAGCUGCAGCUAUUAAGACCAACAGGCAAAUAUUUUAUUCAAACUCAACUUUUUCUUCCCAAGUUACUUUUAAGAAUGUUUUUCUGUUUGUGGGAAUGUGAAUGUGGGUUGUUUGUUUGUUUGUUUUCCUGGGGACUCUUCUAUUCAGCUGCUUCAUCUUCUCCCACCUUUCAGACAGCAGAGCUUGCAGCAGUGACAAGAUGUAAUCCCAAGUAAAACUGCCUCUGCCUGUGGCCUUGGUUAACCUGCUGGCAGUGAUACGUGCCUGGGCACGGGGCAGCUGUUUUACACAGCUCAGCAUGGACGUGCUGCCACUCCCAGUCACUUUUAGGACCCAGUUGAGUUGUUUACAGCAAUCUCAAAAAAAGCUUGUAAUAAAAAUUGUUCUGCCUUCCUGAAGCCA